rnacentral:rRNA from 1 species
UACGGAGGGUGCAAGCGUUAUCCGGAUUUACUGGGUUUAAAGGGUGCGUAGGUGGGUAGGAAAGUCAGUGGUGAAAUCUUCGGGCUUAACCCGGAAACUGCCAUUGAUACUAUUUAUCUUGAAUACUUUGGAGGUAAGCGGAAUAUGUCAUGUAGCGGUGAAAUGCUUAGAUAUGACAUAGAACACCAAUUGCGAAGGCAGCUUACUACACAGUUAUUGACACUGAGGCACGAAAGCGUGGGGCUCAAACAGG